GCGGUCAUCGUAUAAUGGCUAUUACCUCAGCCUUCCAGGAUGAUGAUGCGGGUUCGAUUCCCGCUGACCCGCUCCA
rnacentral:tRNA from 4 species